UACGGAGGGUGCAAGCGUUAUUCGGAAUCAUUGGGCGUAAAGGGCGUGUAGGCGGCUUGACAAGUCAGAUGUGAAAGCCCGAGGCUCAACCUCGGAAGUGCAUUUGAAACUGUCAGGCUUGAGUGCGGGAGAGGAAAGCGGAAUUCCCAGUGUAGAGGUGAAAUUCGUAGAUAUUGGGAGGAACACCGGUGGCGUAGGCGGCUUUCUGGACCGACACUGACGCUGAGGCGCGAAAGCGUGGGGAGCAAACAGG
rnacentral:rRNA from 1 species